AUGUCCCAGGUCCAGCAGGGGUUGGUCAGGUCCAGCCAGGCGGCAGUCGCCCCCACGCCCAAUCCGGGCUCAGGAAGGGGUUGCCCUAUCGAAUGCAAGCCUGGCAGGGUGGAGGUGUCCCCCGUGCUGGCCAUGACUGGGCAGGGGGCCCACUGCUCCUCAGUGGGGCCUGGGGGCAGGGGUCUACCUGAGGCGGGCCAGCUCUGCACUGGCCUCUCAGGGCCCAGAUGGGGACAGGGGAGCAGUGGGCACUUGGGUCAGCCCAGCUCCAGAAAGGAGGGUCCAGGUCAGAAGCAGCGCCCCCAGGGGGCGGCAUUCUGUCCUGCAGCAAGACCUCAGAGGCUGGGCGUGAUAACAGCGCAGACCCUGGGACCUGGGACCCGGCCCCUCCAGGAUGGCCCCCCAUCUCUGUGCUCCUGUCGGCUGGGGACAGCACAUUCCUGGGGAAUUAGAGUGGCUAACGACCUGGGGUGGGCCCGGGAGUCCUGUGUGCCCGUCUCUCCUCACCUCUGCUCUGCAGGGUGCUCGCCCAGGGAGUGGGGCUGCUCUUGGGGUCCUGUCUCCCUCAUCAUAGCCCACACAGCAGUAGGACCGGGACCACAGCCACGGCCCCCCCACCUGCUAGCUGGGUGGGGAGGGCUCUGGCUGCUGCCAAGGAACCACCAGGAGCCCUCGUCCCCCGAGCAGCCAGGCCCCUGUGUGGCCACCCCAGAGCACCCCGUGGUCUGGGCAGAGGGGCGAGGCUCAGCAGUGUCGUGGGCAUCUGAGGCCUCUAGGGGCUGCAGGCACAGAUGGACAGAGCUAGAACUCUGUCCCCUGGGCCUCACAGGCUCCUCCCUGCUGCUCCCAGACAGGAGACAGAAGAACCUGUGACCUCCCCCAAGAUCCAAAGCUAGGGCGGGCAGGGGCAGGGCCUGGCGCCUGGGCAGCUCAGAGCAUGGGCGGGGACACAGGCAGGUCCUCCCACCAGGGCAAUGGCUCCAGGAGCUGCCCUCAGCAGUCUCCCAGCUCAGGCACCACCUCAGGGGAGGCCUUAGAACCCCGUCCAGGUGGCCAGUAGGGGCAAGACUCUCACCUCCACCAAGGACCCCCACGGUGCCCACACACCUGCCCAGGGCCAGCCACAGCCCACACCCCCCUGGGCCAGCCUGUCUGGGAAAUGGGGCCUCCGGCUCCGCGGGAUGCGUGGGCUGGGCCUGCCCGGAUGCCACUGUCCCUGGCCCGGGUCCUAGCAGUGAAGAAACCGCCCAAGAGGGCACGUGCCUGAAACAGAUGGACCCCAGAGCAACAGCAGGUGCUGGGACUUGCAGGCCACAGGUCUCCAGGUCAGGAGCGCCUCCCAGUGCCAGCCCAGCCCAGCAGGCUCCCAACGCCCCUCCCCCUCCCCAAGCUCCCUUCCCAGGCCCCACAGCCAUGACCCGGGCUGCCCACCCAGAUGCACCCAGGGCCUGCAGGGAGGCGGCCCCAAGCCCCAGCCCAGCUGCACCCUCACGCGCCCCUGCUGCUGUGCGUACCUCGGAGGGAGCUGGCAGCCCUCGCCGUGAGCAGCAGUGGCGCUGGGGGCUCCAUCCGCUCGGAGGCUUUCUGUGGCCUCUUGAGCUCACGCUGGGCCCCGAUGCCCCCGAGCCACAGAAGGGCCACAGCCGCGGCCCAGGCCCAGGCCCAGCACGCGUGGCUGCGGGGAUCAGCCUGUGCUCACGGGGCAGCAGCGUAGAGGUCCCAGCGCGGGGGCGACCCCGGGCACACCUGGCAGCCGCCUGCGCCCCUCUAUGCAGAGCAAAGCAAGGGCGCCCCUCUGCCCCAGAUCUGGCUCCAGAGGGAGGGCUCCCCCGAGCUCCCCACCCACCCACCACUGCCUCCACCACCCCUCUGA
ensembl:lncRNA